rnacentral:lncRNA from 1 species
AGGGAACUCUCCCCAGAUUUCAUGAUGAAAUCCUCAUGCCCUUCUGAUACCCUCUUUACACACCUGCAGGAAUUCGCAACAGAGAAGGAUAUUUCCUUUUGGCAAUCGCAAGUAUUAGAGAAAGAUCAGUUCGAUCUUUACUCUAAAGAGGGAAAGAUAGGGAUACCUGAAACUAGUUCUCCAAUCUUUAUCUCUCAGGCUCAUGGAUCAGGACACAAAAGCAUAACCAAUACCAUACAUACCAAUACCAUACAUUCUUUGACAUCCUCUUUUUAUAUUCUCAAUCUGAAACAACAUGUAAAGGAGUUUGUUCAGAUGUGUGAGAUGUGUAUAUGUGCUAAUCCAAAUAUCUCUCGGAAACCAUUACAUGGUCACUUGCCUCCACCUACUGCACCAUUCACACAUUUACAAAUCGAUUUUACACAUAUUCCCAGAACAAGGACUAAACAGCAAUACUUAUUGAUCAUAGUGGACCAAUUUAGUAGAUGGCCUGAGGCCUUUAUGACAAAUAGAGAAGAUGCAAAAACAGUAGAGAAAAUACUCACCACAGAAGUCAUUCCUCGAUAUGGAUGUCCUUUACAGAUUAAUUCUGAUAAUGGCCCUGCAUUUGCAAGCAAAGUCACACAAGAACUUGCUAAAUGGUUACAGGUAACAUGGAAGUUUCAUAUACCAUAUCACCCUCAGAGCUCAGGGGUAGUGGAGAGAAUGAAUAGGACCAUUAAAGAGAAACUUAUGAAGGCAACAGCAGUUACGUGGGUACAUUUGCAAAAGUAUCUUCCAGCCAUUUUGGCCGAGAUACGCAUGACUCCCCACAAAGUGACAAAAUCAUCUCCUUUUGAGAUUUUAAUGGGAAGACCAUUCCCCACACCGUGGGCCAGGGAACCGUUGGUGAUAAUGCCUGGUGAUUUAGAGUUAAUUCAAGAACAAUAUGUUAAAGAAUUGUUGAUAAAAUUGAAUGGUAUCUAUGGCAAUGUUUCUUCGCAGUUUCCUCUGCCUUCACAGGAACCCACUCAUCCCUACCAACCUGGAGAUGUGGUAUCCAUCCGACAACUGAAUAGGACAAAGAAGGGAGGUUUUCCAUUUGGUCCGCCAACCACUGUCAUUGCUGUAACCCGUACUGCAGUCCUGACUGACUCCCAAGAUUUGUGGAUCCACGCAUCACAAGUAAAGUCAUGUCCAAAGAGGGGAACAACUAGAGGCCUUGACAUUCCUGAACCAUCGAAACCCAAAACAUCUGCCAUUCUAAUCUGCGAUUUUACGUGGCUACGAUGAAGGAUGAAGGGAAAAUCGUAACAGGAGCUUUCUUUUUGUUUCUGCCCCUAACGGUAUAUCUGGAUUGCAAUUAUGAAUAUGAACAGUUGGGGAAUUUACAACCCAUUUGUUUUUGGAAACAUAACAAAGUUAUUGACAAUUCUUCAUUUCCCUCCGGAGCCCAAUUAGGCCUUAUUUUUUCAUCUAGAAUCAGACACACUCAUUCCACCGGAUCUGACUGUUCCAGUACGACUCAUACAUAUGUAUUUGAAUCCAACCAUCAUGAGGAGGGACAGAAAAAGUGGAUAAUGACUAUAAAAGGCUAUUUAUGUAUAUAUUAUGAUAAUCAAUUUAAGUAUCAAUUUAUGGUAAUGAGGGAUGAUAAUUGUAGUUUGAUUAUUAAGGGAAGCAUAAAUGAUCUUAAACCUAGGUCACAAAAGUGGGAACAUAAUUUCCCUUUGAAUGAGGAACAAAAAGGGCAGGUAAAAAAGGAUGUUUCUAGUUACACUAGUUAAUACGUUAAGUGACAAGGAGGUAGAAAUAAACUGGGAAAUAGGAUCAAUAUAUUCUUUUAGGAUGCCAUGGAUGUUUUAUUGUAAUUCUACUAGGGAAGUACCUACGAACCCGUCCAUGACUAACCCUAAUUAUGACAUACUUUCCUAUGCUUCUACUUCUAUACGACACAAUACCACAACGGUUCAAAGAAAGCUGAUACCCCAAGUUAAGGUUAGAAAGAAUCGAUCCCUUCACCAAUCUCCUCAAACGGAAGCAUAUACUUGUAAUCAAACAAAUAUAGAAGUAAAAUAGAAGGAUAUACCAGUUAAUAUUACCAUUGGAAAUUAUACUUUCCCCCCACUGAAACCAUGUCCAAUUCACAAUAUAACCGUAGCAAACCAACAACAACUGUGUAGUUGGACUCCUACCUAUGAUCAAAUAAUGAUUAAGGGCAAUGGUAUACAGAACUGUACGAUGCAGUUCGAUAGUGUUAUACCAUUAAACAUAUCACAAAUAGUUAUGUGGCAGGGUGCCUUUCCUAUGACAUUCGACAUAGCUAUGUGUGUAUUGGAUUCUAUCCUUAAUAAAACACGGAAAGACAAAUCAUCAUUAUGUGAAUCCUACCAGAAGGUAGAUAACAUCUUGUCUCCACUUCAGCCAGGAGUGAUGGAGAUAACAUGGCAACCAGGUUUGAUAUUUUUGUGGGGACAAGAAUAUCGAGGUGGAAACAAGGUUAAAUUAUGGGGCUACUGGUUGGGAGCCUUUUUAUGCAGUCCCAUAUCAGAGCCUAACAUUAAAAUUCAGUCUCAUAUCCCUAUUCCAUCUACCUGUGUUAAUACCACUUUUAUCUCAAAAGCUGUACACAUUUAUCUGAAUAUCACUACACCUAUAGUGUCUAUAUGUACUCAUGAAAAAGGUAGACAUAAAAGAGCACGGUAUGAUACCUUGCUGGGAGGAACUGGCACCGCUAUAGGAGUUUUAAAUGGAAUUAAUAUGGAAGUAUUAAAGAAUAAGUUAAGCUCUGCUGGAAAACACAUUGGUACGGGAUUUCAUGCUACUGCAACACGGACACCCACAGUUGUGGAAUCCCAGAUUACAGGUCUCCAUUUAGAAAAAUCAAUGUAUACUUAUUUAGGAGAUUUGACCCUGGCAGCAAUGAAUUUUACUACUGGAAGUAAUAACUUGAGUGUUUGUGCUAUAAGAUAUUUAUGGAUGCAACAACAGAGGUUAGAAUUAGAAAAUAUUCUAAUGAUACCCAAGGUUGACACGUUUCGUGCAAUGAUGAAAUUGAAACAGGAUAUGUGGAUGAGUUUGGACAUAUGAUCUGUUCGCUACAGGCAGCAUAUUUGGGGACAACAUUCAUAUUUUUCUUGCUUAACACAAUUUACUUUGUAUAAUGCCAAGGACAUAAGGGUAGCAUGUAAAUUCUUCACCCUGCCCAUACCCAUUCACAAUCUUACAACAGACUAUGUUACAUGGUGGUCUCCCAUUUAUACAGGAGAAUACAUAUUCCCCAAAGAUAAUAAGACCUAUUCUCUAGAACACUGUAUAAAGAUAGAUAUGGGAUAUGCAUGUAGACACACAUCUCCUAUCUAUGAAUCAUGCUUGCUACAUUCUGGUAUUAGUAAGUGUGUAUGGAAUGUUUAUCCCGAAGACUAUUUUUCCAUGUUAGAAAUAGCACCUGGAUUUGUGUGCCUGGCUAUUAAUGUGCCAGUAGGAAUAGCUAAAAUAGAUCUCAGUCUUCCUUUUGCUGGUUGUAUACGAAAUGUAACUUGGCUUAUAAUUAAAGGUAUAUCAUAUUAUACAUUUAACCUAUUAUUAUGACAGGUUAUUAUGACAUUUCGUGAUGUUCUAGGAUAGUAUGUGCUAAUGCAUUUCUUUGUACUGUUACAGAUCAAAUGUCAAUGUUUGUCUAUGUCUCAUUGGGAACUUUUGCUCUACUUCUGCUUUGUGGUAUUUCAUGUUUGUACUAUAUAAGCAAUGUUAAAUCAAUAUUAAAGCGAG